AUGAACGCUAGCUACAGGCUUAACACAUGCAAGUCGAGGGGCAGCAUUUUAGUUUGCUUGCAAACUGAAGAUGGCGACCGGCGCACGGGUGAGUAACACGUAUCCAACCUGCCGAUAACUCCGGAAUAGCCUUUCGAAAGAAAGAUUAAUACCGGAUAGUAUACGAAUAUCGCAUGAUAUUUUUAUUAAAGAAUUUCGGUUAUCGAUGGGGAUGCGUUCCAUUAGUUUGUUGGCGGGGUAACGGCCCACCAAGACUACGAUGGAUAGGGGUUCUGAGAGGAAGGUCCCCCACAUUGGAACUGAGACACGGUCCAAACUCCUACGGGAGGCAGCAGUGAGGAAUAUUGGUCAAUGGGCGCGAGCCUGAACCAGCCAAGUAGCGUGAAGGAUGAAGGCUCUAUGGGUCGUAAACUUCUUUUAUAUGGGAAUAAAGUUUUCCACGUGUGGAAUUUUGUAUGUACCAUAUGAAUAAGGAUCGGCUAACUCCGUGCCAGCAGCCGCGGUAAUACGGAGGAUCCGAGCGUUAUCCGGAUUUAUUGGGUUUAAAGGGAGCGUAGGUGGAUUGUUAAGUCAGUUGUGAAAGUUAGCGGCUCAACCGUAAAAUUGCAGUUGAGAAUGGCAGUCUUGAGUAAAGUAGCGGUGGGCGGAAUUCGUGGUGUAGCGGUGAAAUGCUUAGAUAUCACGAAGAACUCCGAUUGCGAAGGCAGCUCACUAGACUGUCACUGACACUGAUGCUCGAAAGUGUGGGUAUCAAACAGGAUUAGAUACCCUGGUAGUCCACACAGUAAACGAUGAAUACUCGCUGUUUGCGAUAUACAGUAAGCGGCCAAGCGAAAGCAUUAAGUAUUCCACCUGGGGAGUACGCCGGCAACGGUGAAACUCAAAGGAAUUGACGGGGGCCCGCACAAGCGGAGGAACAUGUGGUUUAAUUCGAUGAUACGCGAGGAACCUUACCCGGGCUUAAAUUGCAACAGAAUAUAUUGGAAACAGUAUAGCCGUAAGGCUGUUGUGAAGGUGCUGCAUGGUUGUCGUCAGCUCGUGCCGUGAGGUGUCGGCUUAAGUGCCAUAACGAGCGCAACCCUUAUCUUUAGUUACUAACAGGUUAUGCUGAGGACUCUAGAGAGACUGCCGUCGUAAGAUGUGAGGAAGGUGGGGAUGACGUCAAAUCAGCACGGCCCUUACGUCCGGGGCUACACACGUGUUACAAUGGGGGGUACAGAAGGCGGCUACCUGGUGACAGGAUGCUAAUCCCAAAACCUCUCUCAGUUCGGAUCGAAGUCUGCAACCCGACUUCGUGAAGCUGGAUUCGCUAGUAAUCGCGCAUCAGCCAUGGCGCGGUGAAUACGUUCCCGGGCCUUGUACACACCGCCCGUCAAGCCAUGAAAGCCGGGGGUACCUGAAGUACGUAACCGCAAGGAGCGUCCUAGGGUAAAACUGGUAAUUGGGGCU
rnacentral:rRNA from 1 species